rnacentral:lncRNA from 7 species
AGGGGACAUCGGAGGGGACAUGGGAUGUAGGCAGGGGACACAGAGGGGACAUCGGUGGGGACACAGAGGGGACAUCGGUGGGGACAUGGGAUGAGGGCAGGGGACACAGAGGGGACAUCGGUGGGACACAGAGGGGACAUCGGUGGGGACACAGAGGGGACAUCGGUGGGGACACAGCCAUGGGGACAGGGAGGUGACUGGGGGACAGGGGCAGGGGACACAGAGGGGACAUCGGUGGGACACAGAGGGGACAUCUGCGGGGACAUGGGAUGAGGGCAGGGGACACAGAGGGGACAUUGGUGGGGACAUCGGUGGGGACACAGAGGGGACAUCGGGUGGGGACAUGGGACACGGGCAGGGGACACAGAGGGGACAUCGGUGGGGACACAGAGGGACAUUGGUGGGACACAGAGGGGACAUCGGUGGGACACAGAGGGGACAUCGGUGGGGACAUGGGACACGGGCAGGGGACACAGAGGGGACAUCGGUGGGGACACAGAGGGGACAUCGGUGGGACAUGGACGCGGGCAGGGGACACAGAGGGGACAUCGGUGGGGACACAGAGGGGACAUCGGUGGGGACACAGAGGGGACAUCGGUGGGGACAUGGGACGCGGGCAGGGGACACAGAGGGGACAUCGGUGGGGACACAGAGGGGACAUCGGUGGGGACAUGGGACGCGGGCAGGGGACACAGAGGGGACAUGGGGACAGGUACCGGUGUCCCCAGGUGUCACCCGGCCUCUGGGACAGGUGGAGGUGAUGGUGACGGUGCCGCGGCUCCUCGGCCAUCUCCUCUGUGUCACCGGCACGGUGUCACCUCCCCGAGGUGGCACUGUCCCCCGGUGUCACCUCCCCACUGCGUCACCUCCUCACCGUGUCACCCACCCCACAGUGUCACCAUCCCACAGUGUCACCUCCUCCUAUUGUCACCCACCCCACAGUGUCACUGUCCCACGGUGUCACCUCCUCAGUGUCACCCACCCCAAAGUGUCACCUCCCCACAGUGUCACCUCCUCCCAUUGUCACCCACCCAUUAUGUCACUGGUCCCACAGUGUCACCAUCCCAGUGUCACCUCCCAUCAUGUCACCACCCCACGGUGUCACCGUCCCAAGUGUCACCUCCUCCCAUUGUCACCACCCCACGGUGUCACCGUCCCACAGUGUCACCUCCUCCCAUUGUCACCCACCCCGGUAUGUCACUGUCCCACAGUGUCACCUCCUCAGUGUCACCCCCCACAGUGUCACUCCUCCUAUUGUCACCCACCCACAGUGUCACCACCCCACAGUGUCACCUCCUCCUAUUGUCACCCCCCCGUCAUGUCACCGUCCCACAGUGUCACCUCCCACGUGUCACCUCCUCCCAUUGUCACCCACCCCAUUAUGUCACUGCCCCACAGUGUCACCCACCCCAAGUGUCACCUCCUCCUAUUGUACCCCACCCCACAGUGUCACCUCCUCCUAUUGUCACCCACC